rnacentral:rRNA from 1 species
ACGCUCGACACCUACGGGAGCAGCAGUGGGGAAUAUUGCACAAUGGGGGAAACCCUGAUGCAGCGACGCCGCGUGGAGGAAGAAGGUCUUCGGAUUGUAAACUCCUGUUGUUGGGGAAAAAGAGGAUGGUACCCAACAAGGAAGUGACGGCUAACUACGUGCCAACAGCCGCCGGUAAUCUGAGCGGGCUGGCAAGGC